UACAAUUCGUAUGACAGAGGAGAUGACAGAAGUUAGUGCUUUGGUGCUCACCAGCACGAUGCUGAAAGGCACAUUUCUCCCCAUCUAUUGCUUCUCUUCCAACGUGAUCGACUGUAGGAUGUUGAGAAAACUCUCAACCUGAGGUCAAACGUUAAGCAAGAUAGUCGGAUGUUGGCCAGACUCCAAACUGACACAUUUGAGUGGAAAUCACACGGCAGAGCUCAACCCUUUGACCGCAAAUGCUUCUCUACCUUCCACCGAAAGAAGUCGAAAGAGGAGGAGGUGCUACGUUUAGGAGAAAUCAGUGUGAUCGAUAGAUGUGUCUAUUAACAUUCGAUCUAAAUGGAGUGAAUUCAUGUGUUCCGAGAGGAUGACAGCGUGAGUUUGAUCGUGCGUCAUAAAGAAUUCCAGAUUCCCUUCGUGUUACAGAAUAAUCUUUAUAGAACAAAAAGGUCAGUAUAUGUUCUACGGAUUGCUUUGUUUUCACCUGUUACUGUAAGCAAAGAAAAGAAAGAAAAAGAUCUCUCUCCAUUAUCAUCUCCCUCCCUCCUCUCUUUUUUUGCCUCCUUCAGUUGUUGGUAGGAUGCUUGGCUGUUUGUGGCAGGAAUCCAGUUCUCUCCUCAGUGGGACACGAGGUGGGCCAAACGAGAACUUCCAUCUCCUUUUUCCAUGUCUUCUUCUCAUCCUUUUCCUCACCCCAUUCGGUAGUGCCUUGUAUUAUUGCGAGCACAUCUGCAAGCAGAUGUUUCUUUCACCCACCCUGCCUUUUCCCCACCUUCCGCACGACCCAACAAGCCUAGCCAAUGUGGACAUUUCUGCUGGUAUCUGAGCUUUUGGUCCUACUUCAAUCCGCUAAACUUUUAUGCUUGUCUAAGUAGAUCCAGGAAUCAGAAGAAGGUGUAGCUCCGAAGGAAGCCGAUGCAGAAUCUAAGCAAAAGAAGACUCACCAAGCCAUCAUAUCUAAGCCAAGAUUACUAAUUUCUAGUGUUACAUCAGCAAGGACGCACUCCUGAGUUCCUCUUCACCAUCUUCCUUCUACUCUGCAAAAUUGCAGUUGCUCGAUUUGCUUCUCUAAGAGGUCUCAUGGAAGUUCAGAGAUCGAGACAGCGCAGCAGGGUUGGCAUGCAGCAGUGAUGGUGCCACCAGCACAUGGUUCUUGACGUCUACCUUCGGAUGGAAGGCCCUGAGAAGCCCUCCAUUGCUAACCGCAUUGUUCUUGCUGCGCUUGACGCCCACCAUGGUCCAUAUGGAGCUCCUUGCAGCUUCUUCAGGGUCAUCAAUCCUCAGCGUCGUCGGAGCCAAACCGCCGUCUUCUUCCGUCGAUAGACUGCUAUUGUUCAGAUUGCUUCCAUCCCUCGAGUGCUUGCCUAAGUUGCCAGUAUUGGGUGCUGCCGCUGGGUGAGAGGAAGCUAAGGGGGACAGCCAUGGAACGCUCCAAGCUCCGGAUGGAACAGCGCAACUCCAAUAAGCCGCAGCAGGAUAGAACGGGAUCGGAAAGCUGAGAGGAGCUGCUGGUGUCCAAGGAUACGGCCACGGGGAUCCACCGAAACAUGGAAUUGGAGCAGCUGAUCCCUGAUAAUUCUGGCCACCAUUUUCGUUCGGACUAAGCAUGGAUGUCUCAGACGAAGGUAGCGGUUUUGCCUUCGCCGGCGCAUCCGUGCCAAAGCUGAGUACCGUGCCAUUUGGCUUCGGAGGGUAACGAACUGAUUCAGGUGCAUUACAUCGAACGGACUGGAGGGAGGACUCCGACACGGCGAUGUGCCGGAAGUGACAAGUGCUCUUGCUCUUGCGUCGACCAGCUCCAACGGGGACGUUCCUCAUGGUGCCACCGGCGGUCCAAUACCUUUGGCAGUUCUUGCAGAAGUGCCUCGGCUGGUUGACGUUGUAGUUGUUGUAGUAGCAGAACUUGGUGUCCAAGCUUUUGCACCGAGGACAAGGGAGGAUCUUGUCCGGCUUCUUCACAGCCUUGUCUUUCGAGUGUUCUUCCGCCACCGAGUUCUUGGUCGACGCAUCCUUUUGAUCAGCGGAAGCUGGUUUAUCCAUCUCGCUCGUCGAUGUAGUACACUCAUUCUUGUCCUGUGAUCGAGCAGCAGUAUCUUCCACUUGAAGAUCCUGAGAUCGAAACGCAAAGAAUGGGUGAAUUCUUCUCACCAACCAUAGAUUUCAGCUGCCUCAUAUGAUCUCAAGAUAGAAUCGAUGAGCUAAGCACUUCAAGAAAGAACGAUUGGUGAUGCUAAGGUGGACAUAGCUGACAAUCACAGUUGGCACACCAAGAAAGAAGACGAGCUAAAUUCUCCCAUUUCUAACUCUCUCGUGGUCAGAGAAAAUACAGUAUAUAAGACAAAAGGAAGAAAUUUGAAGCUGGAAAUCCAACGCAAAUCUAUAAAUAGUGGUGGGUUUGCUUUGCUUUCAUUAGUAGUGUAUGGAGGCAAUAUUGUUCUUUCUGGAGUUGUCUAGAUAAGCUGAUGAUUCUUGCACAUUA